rnacentral:rRNA from 1 species
GACGAAAUGUCCUAACGUUGUUCGGAAUCACUGGGCUUAAAGGGCGCGUAGGCGGUCGAUCAAGUCAGGGGUGAAAUCCUGCAGCUUAACUGUAGAAGUGCCUUUGAUACUGGUCGUCUCGAGGGAGGUAGGGGUGUGUGGAACUUCCAGUGGAGCGGUGAAAUGCGUUGAUAUUGGAAGGAACGCCGGAGGCGAAAGCGACGCACUGGACCUCUUCUGACGCUGAGGCGCGAAAGCUAGGGGAGCAAACGGG